ACUAUUGUCACGGGUUACCGCGGCUGCUGGCACGGAGUUAGCCGGUGCUUCUUCUGCGAGUAACGUCACAGAUGUAAGGUAUUAACUUACACCCUUUCCUCCUCGCUGAAAGUGCUUUACAACCCGAAGGCCUUCUUCACACACGCGGCAUGGCUGCAUCAGGGUUUCCCCCAUUGUGCAAUAUUCCCCACUGCUGCCUCCCGUAGGAGUCUGGGCCGUGUCUCAGUCCCAGUGUGGCUGAUCAUCCU
rnacentral:rRNA from 1 species